AGCAGCCGCCACGGUAAUACGUAGGUGGCAAGCGUUGUCCGGAAUUAUUGGGCGUAAAGGGCUCGCAGGCGGUUUCUUAAGUCUGAUGUGAAAGCCCCCGGCUCAACCGGGGAGGGUCAUUGGAAACUGGGAAACUUGAGUGCAGAAGAGGAGAGUGGAAUUCCACGUGUAGCGGUGAAAUGCGCAGAGAUGUGGAGGAACACCAGUGGCGAAGGCGACUCUCUGGUCUGUAACUGACGCUGAGGAGCGAAAGCGUGGGGAGCGAACAGGAUUAGAGACCCCUGUAGUCCCUGUCUCUUAUAA
rnacentral:rRNA from 1 species